AGCGGGAAGAACGAGCAUCAUACCCAUAGCUGUCACUCUUGGCUCGGGACUCGGACUGCUCGUAGUGGCCACCGUGCUGUGCGACUUCGUCGUCAUCCACUUCGACAAAAGGAAGAAACUGUACAGGGCCAAGAAAUACAAGCUCGUCUCGAAAAGAGACAGCUGCAACUUGAAGGUGCCCUUUCCUGGCCUGGACGGGUCAAGAAUCAAGCGCAGGAACCU